AGCCCAGAGGCGGGGAACCCAGCGGGGCGUGGGAGGCCCGCACGCUCCCCACCCCCAGCCCGGACCCGGACGAGGGGAGCGUGCUGGGAGGCUCGAGUCCCCCCUCCGGAGUGGCCCGAGCCGGGAAAACCUCCCGCGGGCUCCCCGCCCGGGUCUGCAAAACUCCCUCCUCGCCCCGCGCCGAGGGCGCCGCGGCCCCCAGCCGAGGGGAAGGGGACCGAGGAGGGGAAGAAGCUGUAAACAGCCCCAGCGUCCGGGCCUCGCCUCGAAGAGCCCCGCUUCCCAGGCCCCGCUGCGGGCCGCCCCGGCCCCCGGCCCGCCCCGGAGCCGCCCUUCCCUGGGUCAGGGAGAACCGGAGGGGGCUCAGGUCCCCCGUGGGAGGGCUCUAGCAGCUUGCGGAGCGGUCCCAGCAGCAGAGGAGAGGGAAGUCAGGACUUUCUACGCCAUCUUGGAUCCACUUGUCAACGUCCCCACAAAGCAUUAUGGACCUUGACCCAGAGAAGUGCUCAAUUUAUGUGAUUGCCUGACCUCGUCACCGACUGCAGGGUGCAUCCUGGUCCAUCCUUGUCCAAGACACCAGCUGUCUCCUGAGCCAGGAUAGCUUCCUAACUCUUCUCUCAGCCUCUACUCUGCCCCCCUACAGUCCAUUCUCCAGCUGCCAACUCCCCGACUUUUCUGAAAUUGUUGCCUUGCUAAUUACCAUGGACACAUAUUUGUUGCAAGAACUACAUUUUUUAGCUGUCGCCUUGCAGCUACGUGGAGCCAUGUGACUAAUUUUUUUCCAACGGACUUGGAGGAAAAUGUGACCCUGAAGCACAUGAAAAUCUGCCUGACUAAAAACACCUACACUGAAUGUAAGGUGUUGGUUCCUAAUGAACAUCUUGCAACUCAAACUCCUUCUGCUUCCAGAGAACCCAACCUGUGACAGUUAAUGCCAGAGUGGUUGAGUGGUUUGAGAAAGCAGGUGAUAAGGUUUGGAACUGGAUCACCAGGCUGGCUAUGAGAACCCCAUCAUCAGUGGUAGGUUAAACACCCAACAAAAGUAGGUCUCUUAUGCCCUGGAUGGGUUAAGGCCCUGGAUGAGUCAAGAUGAGACCCAACGUAUAGAAUAAGGACAUCUGGACAAUGGCUCUGAGGAUUUUGACUCCCCAGGCUCCUGUGAAUCUUCUGAGCUUGCAGAAAUGGUCCAUCAUCCCUCAGUCCCUAGUAAGAGCUAGCACUCCCCUGUGAUGGAAGACAAAGGAGGAGCCUCUCCAAGCAUGGUUAAUACAGAUGAAGAGAAUGACAAAGCACAGGACUUUUUUUUUUUUAUGGAUUCCACGGUCACAACCAACUACUUGGCAACCUGCCCCUCACAUGUUGCAAAACAAAAUGUGUUGCCUUCAGUGUGUUUUUAGCAGGCCAGUUUGUUUUAUCACAAUGCUUGGGUCUAGACGUGUAGAUAUCAGAACAUUCCAACUGCGUUUUUGCCACUUUGGUUAAUAUCUUGGCUUCCUAGAAGCUGUAUGUCAGUUUCCAGCUCUUCCCUGUUUUUUGUCCCCCCCCAGAUGCAAAGGAGAUUGCUCUGCCCUGUGGGAGUCUUGCUUUUCCCAACAAGCGUGAAAAAAAGUGCAAUAGCUGUCCCAGGAUUGUUGCUUUUGACAGCAUGUCCCAGGGGAUUAAUAUUCCAGGUGGCGGUUGGCCAAAAUAAGUAGGGAAGAAAAACUGCCAAGCAACACUACUUAUGCAAGUACUGUUGUCGCUAGAAAGCAGAAAGAGUUUUCACAUUAAAAUGAACUAGAAAUUCACUGGCUGGUGCUGAGGGAAAACUAGUUUUUGGGUGUGUAUGUGCAGGGAACAGGAUAAACAUUUGCAUAUUGUUAAAAUAAUAAUUUGAAAAUAGCUUUGUUUAUUUAAAUAUUGUUUUCCUUCAUGCUUUGGAAAUCAUAAGUUGUUAAUAAUACUUAAUCUUUGUCAAACCUGUAAAAAAUAACAUA